AAUAAGUGCAUUUUUGCACUAUUCACAUUCAACGUUUGACCAUUCAUCUUAUUUGAUUAGUAUUUCUAUUGCUAUUAGAUGAUAAAACAUGAAUAGUACUUUAUGUGUGACUAAAUAUUUUCAAAUUUUUCACAAAUUUUUCAAAUAAGACGGACAGUCAAAUGUUGGGCACAGAUAUCCACUGCUGCACUUAUU
rfam:Oryza glumipatula chromosome 10, whole genome shotgun sequence.